rnacentral:rRNA from 1 species
UACGUAGGUGGCAAGCGUUGUCCGGAAUUAUUGGGCGUAAAGCGUGCGCAGGCGGUUCGUUGUGUCGGCGGUGAAAGCCCCGGGCUCAACCUGGGAAUGGCCGUUGAAACUGGCGAACUGGAGUGUGGCAGAGGGGGGUGGAAUUCCGCGUGUAGCAGUGAAAUGCGUAGAGAUGCGGAGGAACACCGAUGGCGAAGGCAGCCCCCUGGGCUAACACUGACGCUCAGGCACGAAAGCGUGGGGAGCAAACAGG